GACGAACGCUGGCGGCGUGCUUAACACAUGCAAGUCGAGCGAUGAAGUUUUUUCGGAAAUGGAUUAGCGGCGAACGGGUGAGGAACACGUGAAGAAUCUGCCCUCCACUUUGGGCUAACACAGGGAAACCUGUGCUAAUACCGAAUAUUGAAACAUACGUGGCAUCACUGAGUUUUGAAAGAAUUUCGGUGGAGGAUGACUUCGCGGCCUAUCAGCUAGUUGGUGGGGUAAUGGCUCACCAAGGCAACGACGGGUAGCCGGCCUGAGAGGGCGACCGGCCACACUGGGACUGAGAUACGGCCCAGACUCCUACGGGAGGCAGCAGUGGGGAAUAUUGGGCAAUGGAGGAAACUCCGACCCAGCGACGCCGCGUGCGGGAUGAAGGCCUUCGGGUUGUAAACCGCUUUCAGUAGGGAAGAAGCGAAAGUGACGGUACCUACAAAAGAAGCACCGGCUAACUAUGUGCCAGCCGCCGCCGUAA
rnacentral:rRNA from 1 species